UCUAGUGAUGAUGGCAAAGAUGUCACACCCGUUCCCAUACCGAACACGGAAGUUAAGCUCUUUAGCGCCGAUGGUAGUUGGGGGCUUCCCCCUGUGAGAGUAGGACGUCGCUAGGC
rnacentral:rRNA from 1 species